rnacentral:rRNA from 1 species
CGCGGCCUAUCAGCUUGUUGGUGGGGUAACGGCCCACCAAGGCAUCGACGGGUAGCUGGUCUGAGAGGACGAUCAGCCACACUGGGACUGAGACACGGCCCAGACUCCUACGGGAGGCAGCAGUGGGGAAUAUUGCGCAAUGGGCGAAAGCCUGACGCAGCAACGCCGCGUGGGGGAUGAAGGCCUUCGGGUUGUAAACCCCUUUCAGCAGGGACGAAAAUGACGGUACCUGCAGAAGAAGCCCCGGCCAACUACGUGCCAGCAGCCGCGGUAACACGUAGGGGGCAAGCGUUGUCCGGAUUUAUUGAGCGUAAAGAGCUCGUAGGCGGUUGCGUAAGUCGGAUGUGAAAACUCAGGGCUCAACCCGGAGACGCCAUCCGAUACUGCGCUGACUAGAGUCCGGUAGAGGAGCAUGGAAUUCCUGGUGUAGCGGUGAAAUGCGCAGAUAUCAGGAGGAACACCAGUGGCGAAGGCGGUGCUCUGGGCCGGUACUGACGCUGAGGAGCGAAAGCGUGGGUAGCGAACAGGAUUAGAUACCCUGGUAGUCCACGCCGUAAACGUUGGGCACUAGGUGUGGGGCCUCCUUAACGGGUUCCGUGCCGUAGCUAACGCAUUAAGUGCCCCGCCUGGGGAGUACGG